UACGAAGGGGGCUAGCGUUGCUCGGAAUUACUGGGCGUAAAGCGCGCGUAGGUGGUUUGUUAAGUUGAAUGUGAAAUCCCCGGGCUCAACCUGGGAACUGCAUGCAAAACUGGCAAGCUAGAGUAUGGUAGAGGGUGGUGGAAUUUCCUGUGUAGCGGUGAAAUGCGUAGAUAUAGGAAGGAACACCAGUGGCGAAGGCGACCACCUGGACUGAUACUGACACUGAGGUGCGAAAGCGUGGGGAGCAAACAGG
rnacentral:rRNA from 1 species